rnacentral:rRNA from 1 species
GAGUUUGAUCAUGGCUCAGAUUGAACGCUGGCGGCAGGCCUAACACAUGCAAGUCGAGCGCGAAAGUCCUUCGGGGCGAGUAGAGCGGCGGACGGGUGAGUAAUGCUUGGGAAUCUACCCAGUAGCGGGGGAUAACCUGUGGAAACGCAGGCUAAUACCGCAUACGUCCUACGGGAGAAAGCAGGGGAUCUUCGGACCUUGCACUAUUGGAUGAGCCCAAGUCGGAUUAGCUAGUUGGUGGGGUAAUGGCUCACCAAGGCGACGAUCCGUAGCUGGUCUGAGAGGACGAUCAGCCACAUUGGGACUGAGACACGGCCCAGACUCCUACGGGAGGCAGCAGUGGGGAAUCUUGCACAAUGGAGGAAACUCUGAUGCAGCGAUGCCGCGUGAGUGAAGAAGGCCCUUGGGUUGUAAAGCUCUUUCGUCGGGGAAGAAAAUGACUGUACCCGAAUAAGAAGGUCCGGCUAACUUCGUGCCAGCAGCCGCGGUAAUACGAAGGGACCUAGCGUAGUUCGGAAUUACUGGGCUUAAAGAGUUCGUAGGUGGUUGAAAAAGUUGGUGGUGAAAUCCCAGAGCUUAACUCUGGAACUGCCAUCAAAACUUUUCAGCUAGAGUAUGAUAGAGGAAAGCAGAAUUUCUAGUGUAGAGGUGAAAUUCGUAGAUAUUAGAAAGAAUACCAAUUGCGAAGGCAGCUUUCUGGAUCAUUACUGACACUGAGGAACGAAAGCAUGGGUAGCGAAGAGGAUUAGAUACCCUCGUAGUCCAUGCCGUAAACGAUGUGUGUUAGACGUUGGAAAUUUAUUUUCAGUGUCGCAGGGAAACCGAUAAACACACCGCCUGGGGAGUACGACCGCAAGGUUAAAACUCAAAUGAAUUGACGGGGACCCGCACAAGUAGUGGAGCAUGUGGUUUAAUUCGAAGAUACGCGCAGAACCUUACCAACACUUGACAUGUUCGUCGCGACUCUAAGAGAUUAGAGUUUUCGGUUCGGCCGGACGAAACACAGGUGCUGCAUGGCUGUCGUCAGCUCGUGUCGUGAGAUGUUGGGUUAAGUCCCGCAACGAGCGCAACCCUCACUUUUAGUUGCCAUCAUUAAGUUGGGCACUCUGAAAGAACUGCCAGUGAUAAGCUGGAGGAAGGUGGGGAUGACGUCAAGUCCUCAUGGCCCUUACGUGUUGGGCUACACACGUGCUACAAUGGCAUCUACAACAGGAAGCAAAACGGCAACGUUAAGCAAAUCCCGAAAAGAUGCCUCAGUUCGGAUUGCACUCUGCAACUCGAGUGCAUGAAGCUGGAAUUACUAGUAAUCGUGGAUCAGCGUGCCACGGUGAAUGCGUUCCCGGGUCUUGUACACACCGCCCGUCACACCAUGGGAGUUGGUUCUACCUUAAGGCAAGGUUUUAAACCCUUGACCACGGUAUAGUCAGCGACUGGGGUGAAGUCGUAACAAGGUAACC